ACCAAUGUGAUGAGUGUGGGGAAGGCCAUAGAAAGGACCGGCGAAUGCUGGCAUUGAUGUGUGUUAUUUUAACAUUUCUGAAAUCCUGUUCUUAGUCUGCACACCUUGUCCGAGGCUCCGAUGUUAUCCAGGUGAUUCAUCAUUUAAUGCUGUUGGCUUCAACAUGGAUUUAAUGGUAACUAAACCAAGUGCACACUAUGUGAAGAUCUAUUCACUUGGAGGUCCUUCAUUUCAGGUCACCAGGUAUGCCCCUGGGCUCCUGCCGCAGCUGAUCGGGUGCUAGGUGCUGAGGAUACACGUCUGGGAGAAAGCAAUUGGAAGAAAUGCAAAGCUCUUCAAAGGAGACCUAUAAAGUCAUCUUUGUUUUGUUCAUUCUUCUCAUGUUUCUGCAUUCUGGGCAUUCUCCUAAAUUGGGGAGAAACCAAAAUGCCCAGAAGUCAAAUUCUGCAACUGUCAUCAUGCAAAAUGUCAAAUGAGAGAACCAAAGUAUGCUGGAUUCUAUAUUGUUAGGAAGGGAUGGUUAAUUUGAUUGACUCUUGGGAGCUAUUUUUCUAGCAUUAAGUAAUUCUAGGGAACCCUUCUGUGAUCAUCUCUGAGUAAAUAAAGAAGUGAAAUUGCAAUUCAAAUAA
ensembl:lncRNA LINC01213 long intergenic non-protein coding RNA 1213